rnacentral:rRNA from 1 species
UACGUAGGGGCAAGCGUUGUCCGGAAUCAUUGGGCGUAAAGAGCGCGUAGGCGGUCCGGUAAGUCCGCUCUGAAAGUCCGGGGCUCAACCCCGGAAGGCGGGCGGAUACUGUCGGGCUAGAGUCCGGAAGAGGCGAGUGGAAUUCCUGGUGUAGCGGGUGAAAUGCGCAGAUAUCAGGAGGAACACCAAUGGCGAAGGCAGCUCGCUGGGACGGUACUGACGCUGAG